rnacentral:rRNA from 1 species
UACGUAGGGUGCGAGCGUUGUCCGGAAUUAUUGGGCGUAAAGAGCUCGUAGGCGGUGUGUCACGUCGUUCGUGAAAACCUGCAGCUUAACUGUGGGCGUGCGGUCGAUACGGGCAUCACUGGAGUUCGGCAGGGGAGACUGGAAUUCCUGGUGUAGCGGUGAAAUGCGCAGAUAUCAGGAGGAACACCGGUGGCGAAGGCGGGUCUCUGGGCCACUACUGACGCUGAGGCGCGAAAGCUAGGGGGAGCGAACAGG